UUUAUGCUGCUUGAAGCGGUCCCCUUGUAGGGGCCCAUAGCUCCAGUGUGAGUCUGAGUUUCGACUUUCGACUUGUGCUGGCGCCCGGUAUCAGCACCACUUCGGUGGUGGUGUCUCCGGGGCCCCGGCAAGCCCAUGGGCCUGUCGAAGGGGUGGACCUCCACCUCGAUCCCGUCCCUCGAGGAACCUCUCGAUGA
rfam:Prochlorococcus marinus MIT9313 complete genome